CGUAGCCGCGGGAAUACGUAGGGGGCAAGCGUUAUCCGGAUUUACUGGGUGUAAAGGGAGCGCAGACGGCAGUGCAAGUCUGAAGUGAAAGGCGUGGGCUCAACCCAUGAACUGCUUUGGAAACUGUAUAGCUUGAGUGUCGGAGGGGUAAGCGGAAUUCCUAGUGUAGCGGUGAAAUGCGUAGAUAUUAGGAGGAACACCGGAGGCGAAGGCGGCUUACUGGACGACAACUGACGUUGAGGCUCGAAGGCGUGGGGAGCAAACAGGAUUAGAUACCCCCGUAGUCCCUGUCUCUUAUACA
rnacentral:rRNA from 1 species